UAUGUUGUACUAACUAUAGUUUAGUCUUAGGGACCGUUCAUUAUUUAUACCUGCAUGGGGUUGGUACCGAAGAGAAGCGAAAAACAGUGUAAAUUUUUUAUUUACCCAACCUCAACAUUGGUCAAAAUAAUGUUUACCCAACCCAUGUGUUACUGUACUUCAUAAUAAUUAAACACACAAGAUUAUGGUGACAGAAAUCAAGUUGCCUAAAUUCUAAAAGCACACUCAAACUCACUGAGUGUGCCAAAGCAAUCACGUUCCUGCUGAUCAAUAUGAUAGAGUCCUUUCUCAAUAACUGAUGGUCUAUUUUGGUACAGAAUGUAUUGUACACAUUUUUCUUCAUAUUUUCCAAU
rnacentral:lncRNA from 1 species